rnacentral:rRNA from 1 species
AUUGAACGCUGGCGGCAUGCCUUACACAUGCAAGUCGAACGGCAGCACGGGUGCUUGCACCUGGUGGCGAGUGGCGAACGGGUGAGUAAUACAUCGGAACGUACCUUAUCGUGGGGGAUAACGCAGCGAAAGCUGUGCUAAUACCGCAUACGCCCUGAGGGGGAAAGCGGGGGAUCGCAAGACCUCGCGCGAUUAGAGCGGCCGAUGCCUGAUUAGCUAGUUGGUGGGGUAAAAGCCCACCAAGGCGACGAUCAGUAGCUGGUCUGAGAGGACGAUCAGCCACACUGGGACUGAGACACGGCCCAGACUCCUACGGGAGGCAGCAGUGGGGAAUAUUGGACAAUGGGGGCAACCCUGAUCCAGCAAUGCCGCGUGAGUGAAGAAGGCCUUCGGGUUGUAAAGCUCUUUUGUCAGGGAAGAAACACCGGCUCUAACACAGUCCGGGAAUGACGGUACCUGCAGAAAAAGCACCGGCUAACUACGUGCCAGCCGCCGCCGUAA